rnacentral:rRNA from 1 species
GAUGAACGCUGGCGGCGUGCCUAAUACAUGCCAGUCGAGCGAACAGAUGAGGAGCUUGCUCCUCUGACGUUAGCGGCGGACGGGUGAGUAACACGUGGAUAACCUACCUAUAAGACUGGGAUAACUUCGGGAAACCGGAGCUAAUACCGGAUAAUAUAUUGAACCGCAUGGUUCAAUAGUGAAAGACGGUUUUGCUGUCACUUAUAGAUGGAUCCCCGCCUCAUUACCUAGUUGGUAAGGUAACGGCUUACCAAGCCAACGUUGCGUAGCCGACCUGAGAGGGUGAUCGGCCACACUGGAACUGAGACACGGUCCAGACUCCUACGGGAGGCAGCAGUAGGGAAUCUCCCGCAAUGGGCGAAAGCCUGACGGAGCAACGCCGCGUGAUUGAUGAAGGUCUUCGGAUCGUAAACCUCUGUUAUUAGGGAAGAACAAAUGUGUAAGUAACUAUGCACGUCUUGACGGUACCUAAUCAGAAAGCCACGGCUAACUACGUG